UUGGUACAAAGAUGACAGGUUCGGCCGUAACAGGAAAGAUGAAGAAGGCUUCCCAGGCUUUUCUCUCAUUAACAAAGCUACCAAUCUCGCCAUGAAGCACGCCAAGGGAGACCGGCAACAUGUGCAGCUGGUGCCUUAUAAUCCAGAUACCUAUGACGAAUCUGUGCUGUGGUCGAUGAGCAAGGAUUUCGGAGAAGGCUACAGAACAAUCAGAAUGGUCAAUAACAUUCGCCUGAACGUUGAUGCUCUUAACGGCGACAAAGGUAUUCAGGACGGCACCAACAUUGUGCUCUGGCAAUGGAACCAUGGAAACAACCAGCUGUGGAAGAUCCAAAGAUACUGAUAAACUUUGUUGUGUGAUGGCUGAAUUUUCAGUGAUGGAGUUGUACUGUUGCUUCUCUAUAUUCAACAUUUUCUUUGUUGUUUUGAUAAAAGCUCAUGGAUAUAAAGCA